rnacentral:rRNA from 1 species
UACGUAGGGUGCAAGCGUUAAUCGGAAUUACUGGGCGUAAAGCGUGCGCAGGCGGUUUUGUAAGUCUGUCGUGAAAGCCCCGGGCUCAACCUGGGAAUUGCGAUGGAGACUGCAAGGCUUGAAUCUGGCAGAGGGGGGUAGAAUUCCGCGUGUAGCAGUGAAAUGCGUAGAGAUGCGGAGGAACACCGAUGGCGAAGGCAGCCCCCUGGGCUAACACUGACGCUGAGGCACGAAAGCGUGGGGAGCAAACAGG